AUCACGGGUCCACAUAAACUGAGUUGAAAAUUCAUUUUCGAAUUUUUUAUAACUAAAAAAAAAAAAUUCAUCCGUCGCCCACUGGUUUCCUAUUGAUUUAAAAGGGUUUCUCUCUCUUCUCUCCCCUUCUCCAACCUCAGACCCUCUCACUGCCAUCGUCAGCCUCCGUCCAACGGCCAAACGAUGCAGCUGGGGAAGAUGAACAAAAUUUCGACCACGAAGUUGUUGAUUGUCGUUAGAUCUGUCGGUCAGUGAUCGCUGAUUUCCGGUCACUUCCUAUCCAGAAGCCAACAUCAGUUUCUUAAGCCAAAAUAAUUUUGGGUCGACUAGUGGACCCGGAUCUGAUGAGAUACAUUGAUGAUAAAAUGGCCAAGUUCUAUAGAUCUUCAAGAAGAUUCACCUCUAGUAGGAGCAUCACAAACACCAGUGUCAACACUAUUGAAGAAAGCUUCGGAGAAUAUGAAUUCUCCAAAUGUAAUGAAUAUUUCAAAGCACCAAAAAAAGGUCAUUUUUGAUGAAUAUGAAGUUGAAACUGGUAAUGGUAGAACUAUUAAACUGAAAACAAGAAGCACAGACAUGUUUGAGGAUCCAAGAUAAAUAAGACGAUUAGUACACCAAAAGUCAAAAGCCCCCGGAGUGUAGUCAUGGAUGUUAUUGGCGCAAGGACAGUGAUCGCAGGAGAUAGCGAAGAAUUGGAUCUCAUUGAAGGUUGAUAGAGAAGUUUAAUAUAGUUUGUUUGUAUUUCAUAGCUUUUAUAACUUUGAAUGUAUAUCGUUCUUGUAAGUUGCAGAGUAAUAUACUUUACUGUGAAAUAUAUGGUCAGUAUCCAAAUACCAGUUAUGGUAUCCAAUACCCAGAAUGGGAAGCCAAGCCGUA